rnacentral:rRNA from 1 species
AAUACCGCAUAUUCUGUGAGCAGAAAGCAGGGGAUCGCAAGACCUUGCGCUCUUUGAGCGGCCGAUGUCAGAUUAGCUAGUUGGUGAGGUAACGGCUUACCAAAGGCGACGAUCUGUAGCGGGUCUGAGAGGAUGAUCCGCCACACUGGAACUGAGACACGGUCCAGACUCCUACGGGAGGCAGCAGUGGGGAAUUUUGGACAAUGGGGGCAACCCUGAUCCAGCCAUGCCGCGUGAGUGAAGAAGGCCUUCGGGUUGUAAAGCUCUUUCGGCCGGGAAGAAAUCGCAUGGGUUAAUACCCUGUGUGGAUGACGGUACCGGCAUAAGAAGCACCGGCUAACUACGUG